rnacentral:rRNA from 1 species
CCCUUAGAUGUUCUGGGCCACACGCGCGUUACACUGAUGAAGCCAGCGAGUAUAUCGCCUUCACCGGAAGGUGCGGGUAAUCUUGUGAAACUUCAUCGUGCUGGGGAUAGACCAUUGCAAUUAUUGGUCUUGAACGAGGAAUUCCUAGUAAGCAUGAGUCAUCAACUCGUGCUGAUUACGUCCCUGCCCUUUGUACACACCGCCCGUCGCUACUACCGAUUGAAUGGUUUAGUGAGAUCUCGGGAUUGGAGACGUUGCGCCGCAAGGCACAUCGUCCUCGAGAACUUGAUCAGACUUGAUCAUUUAGAGGAAGUAAAAGUCGUAACA